rnacentral:rRNA from 1 species
ACCGAAUAGAUACCCGGGUAGUCCACGCCCUAAACGAUGCGAACUGGAUGUUGGGCACAUUACGGUGCUCAGUGUCGAAAGCUAACGCGUUAAGUUCGCCGCCUGGGGAGUACGGUCGCAAGACUGAAACUCAAAGGAAUUGACGGGGGGCCCGCACAAGCGGUGGAGUAUGUGGUUUAAAUUCGAUGCAACGCGAAGAACCUUACCUGGCCUUGACAUCUGUCGAAUCCUGCAGAGAUGCGGGAGUGCCGCAAGGAACGACAAGACAGGUGCUGCAUGGCUGUCGUCAGCUCGUGUCGUGAGAUGUUGGGUUUAAGUCCCGCAACGAGCGCAACCCUUGUCCCUAGUUGCCAACACUUCGGGUGGGAACUCUAGGGAGACUGCCGGUGACAAACCGGAGGAAGGUGGGGAUGACGUCAAGUCCUCAUGGCCCUUACGGCCAGGGCUACACACGUACUACAAUGGUCGGUACAAAGGGUUGCCAAGCCGCGAGGCGGAGCCAAUCCCAGAAAACCGAUCCCAGUCCGGAUUGGGGUCUGCAACUCGACCCC